GGAGUGGUGUGUCCAGUGAUGGCAUGCUGAACAUCGAUCCCUGAGUGAAGUUAGGCCGAUCUGCUCAUGCGUGUUCCAUCACAUGUUCCGGUGUCGCGGUUGGAGGACACUCCCGAUGCCGCCGCCAGUGCCGCCCGGUCGCAGUGUCCCGACACAAUCCUACGACGCGCAAUGGGUUUCUUCCGCACAGAGAGGCACUUGUUGUACCCGUAUGCAAUCCGAACCGCGCGUGUCCCACACAUCCCAGAAACGGCCCUGCUGUUCGCAGGUUGCCAUUUUUUUG
rnacentral:snRNA from 14 species